rnacentral:rRNA from 1 species
GAUGAACGCUGGCGGCGUGCUUAACACAUGCAAGUCGAACGAAGCAUUUAAGACAGAUUACUUCGGUUUGAGGUCUUUUAUGACUGAGUGGCAGACGGGUGAGUAACGCGUGGGUAACCUGCCUCAUACAGGGGGAUAGCAGCUGGAAACGGCUGGUAAUACCGCAUAAGCGCUCAGUACCACAUGGUACAGUGUGAAAAACUCCGGUGGUAUGAGAUGGACCCGCGUCUGAUUAGCUUGUUGGCGGGGUAACGGCCCACCAAGGCGACGAUCAGUAGCCGACCUGAGAGGGUGACCGGCCACAUUGGGACUGAGACACGGCCCAGACUCCUACGGGAGGCAGCAGUGGGGAAUAUUGCACAAUGGAGGAAACUCUGAUGCAGCGACGCCGCGUGAGUGAAGAAGUAGUUCGCUAUGUAAAGCUCUAUCAGCAGGGAAGAUAGUGACGGUACCUGACUAAGAAGCUCCGGCUAAAUACGUG